AUGGGAAUGAUGAUUUUUUUUUUUUCGAUCUUGAGACUACUGUGAUGUUUCACGUAUUCAUACUGUCUGACCCAU